AUGCUUUCCGUACCCACUUUGGUAUUUUCAGUACCAAGCUUCGCAUUUUCAGCGCCGAAUUUGGUAUUUUCGGCACCAAAUCGGCCAUUUUCAGUACCAAACUUCGUAUUUUCAGCGCCGAAACGGAGAUUUUCAGCAGCGAUUUUGCUAUUUUCCGUGCUGAAUUUGGCAUUUUCAGCACCAAACCGGAGAUCCUCAGUACUGUGUUUCGUAUUUUCAGUCCCAAUUCUGGUAUUUUCAGCCCAAAUUCUGGUAUUUUCAGCGCCGAGCAGCAGAUUUUCAGUUCCACCUUUGAACUCGGUGCCAAAUCUGACGUUUUCUGCCCCAAUUCUGAGGCCUUCGCUGUCCAACCUGCAACUUUCAGUCCUGAUUCUGGAAUUUUCUGCUCCGGUUCUGACAUUUUCACUCCCAAUUCUGCCAUUUUCAGUCCCAAUUCUGCCAUUUUCAGUCCCAGCUCUGCAAUUUUCAGACACAAAUCUACUACAUUCCGUCUCAAUUCCGCUGUUUUCAGACCCAAAUCCGCCAUUUUCACUCCCAAAUCCGCCAUUUUCAGACCCAAUUCCACUUCCGGUCCCAAAUCCGCCAUUUUCAGACCCAAAUCCAAAUCUUCCAGCGCCGAAUCCCCCCCUCACCGCCCCAAUUUUGGCAUUUUCAGCACCAAAUCUGCCGCUUUCCGCCCCGAUUUGGGCACUCUCAGUUCCCAUUUUCACACAUCCUGUGCAAAAAUCGCCAUUUUCAGCCCCAAUUUUAGCGUAUUCUGUACCAUUCCUGCCCAUUUCGGCUCCAAAAUCAGCAUUUUUUGUACCGUUUCUGCUAUUUUCAGUCCCACCUGCGGUAUUUUCACUCCCAAAAUCAGCGUUUUCUGUACCGUUUCCAGCGUUUUCACCACAAUUUUGGACGUUUCCAAAACCGUUCUCAGCAUUUCCAGCGACGUCUGCACCGUUUUCCAGGCAACUUCCCCCAUUUUUGGGUCCGUUUCCCCCAUUUUUGGGUCCGUUUCCCCCAUUUUUGGGGCUGCCCUCUUCAUUUCUGGGUCCGUUCCCCCAAUUUUCAAAGCCGUCCUCCCCAUUUUCAGCGCUGCUUCCAUCCUUUCCAAGGCAACUUUUGGGGUCAUUCCUCGCAUUUUUGGGUCUCUUUCCUCCGUUUUCAGAACAACUCCCGCCGUUUCUGCAGCAGCUCCCCCCACUUUUGGGGCCGUUUCCUCCAUUUUUGGGGCCAUCCUCUCCAUUUUCAGACUCAUUCCCUCUAUUUUCAAAGCUCUUCUCUCCAUUUUUGGGGCAGUUUCCUCCAUUUUCAGCUCCGUUCUUCCCAUUUUUGGGGCCACUUCCCUCAUAUUCGGCUCCGUUCUCUCCACUUCUGGGGCCACAUCUCCAAUUUUCAGCCCCGUGCCCCCAAUUUUCAGCCCCGUGCCCCCAAUUUCCCCCUCUCCUCUCCCCAGUUUUGAAGCCAACUUCCGCCCCACGCACCCCAAUCUCAGCCCCAUUUCCUCCCACUUCCCCACCCCCCAUCUCAGCCCCAUUUUCUCUGCUUUUAACCCCAAUUCCCCUAAAUCCAGCCCCACUUCUCCCCACUUUAGCCCCAUUUCCCCCAAUUCCAGCCCCAUUUCCCCCAACCUCACCCCCAAUUCCCCCAAUU
rnacentral:lncRNA from 1 species